CCCGCAGCAGUGAUCAAAUCAAAGAGAAGCCUUGCUCCUGAUGCAUUUCAGACUGAGUAAUCUUUAACAAACUCUGGAGAAAGGGUCCAUUCUGACCCUGAGGCAGCAAAGAGAGUCUGUUCUCUUGGCAGAGGGGCCACAAAUGCCACCUUUGUACAGUGCUGUGCAGCUUAAAGGCAGCUGCAGAGGAUACUGCCUGAAAGUAAGCUGAAAAAAACACAUCAGCUAAUGUCAGGAGGAAAUAACCUGCUCUGCAGCGGGGAUAAAACCAAGCUUUGUACAUGUGGCACGGUUGUUUGCUUCCAGGCAUAAUAAACUUCCACAGAAGAAAAGCAAGUUUUGAAGAGUGUUCUAGGAGCAGCAGGAAUUUCCAAAUCGUUUGGCAUUUAAUUACCAAGAAUUGGACUAAAUCCAGACUGCAACACUAACGAAUGUUGCAAUGCUGCUUCAGACUCCCACCAGUGGCUCAGUGCAUAGCAGGUUGUUCUUCACUUGCAAUGGCAGACCAUCAUUCCAAGGAGAAGAGCUCUCUUGUGUUCAACAAGCAAAUUGACAGUCACCUCCUGUAGAUGCAUCUCCGCACUGUCAGAACAAAGUGUGCUGUUUGUACAUGGGAUUCUGGUAUAAUUAUACCAGUGACUUUUAGAUAUUUUCCCCAGAUCCUGUUCUACUGUUUGAACAGACCAUGCACUGCCACUACUGCUAGUGCUGCUGCUACUGCUGUUAAUUCCAUCUUCUUUGUGUGUAUCCCAGAUGAGACAUUUUCACUAAAAACAAGCAGUUUAGGAUUGUGUUCUUAUAAAACUCUUAAUUCAGUAUCCUUCUCCAGUGCCCCAACACAGAGGAUGAAGCACGUGCUUUCUUCUCUGGUCUCAUUCACUCCUCACUUUCCUGCCUUCUGUCACCUGACACAUUAUUCACCCGUGUUUCCCAUUCUUUAAAGUCUUCAACAAAGCUGGAAAUGGUACAGCAAUGUCAUUAUAUCAUAAGCAUUGAGUAGCAAUGUUGCUUUUACAACUGAGGUUAGAAAAAUGUGUCACCAUAGUGCCCUAAUAGUGACACAACCUGCAGGUUUCCAUAAGGGGAAAAAACUGUUGUUGAACUCCAUAUGCAGUAGCAAACCUCCAUGAAAAGAGAGCUCUGAUUUUUGGAGUUCACAUGCACUGAGUAUUGAGGUAUUUCAAGAAGGACAGAAAAUAUAUGUGUGCUCUGUCAGAGAUCAGCCAGUAUUAAAGCUUGAAUGCAGAAGAAUGCAAGGUAGGGAAUUUCUCCCAUCUUUGAUUUUUCCAGUGUUUUUCAUCUGCCCAAUGGACACAUCCAUCCAGAAGAAGUAAAGUCUCCUGAUUUGUUGCUUAUGUGAGGUAUUGCACUGAAAAUUAUAGGAAUACUGGAAGAUGAAACCUGCAUUAAAAAAGGAGAGAAAAGGGAGCUUCCAGAGCCUGUUUCCCCUGUUCCUUACUCCUUUUGAAUAAAGGUGGCUCUGUGCAGUCAGAGCCAUCCCCCUCCCCCUGGAUCAAUAUUUUAAUAUGACUUAUCAGAAAGAGAAUGAAUUGUUUACUUUAAAACCUCAGGAUCCCAUAAAGGGCGAAGCAAAGGUGUCCCCUGGAAACAGAGGCCUUGAACAGCUGACCACUGCUGUGAUCUCGUAAAAGAAAGGCAGGUUGUCCAGCUAAACGGGCACAGUGAUGUGCAGCAAAAUGUCACACAGCAGCUCCUCAGUUCUGACAGACCCCAAUGGCACAACGCAGGACCCCCAGUCUGCAAUGGUCUCCAAAGUCUCCAUGCUGAAGUCUCCAUGCUGCGUGGCUGUUACCUCUACCAUGGGCUAACAAUGUGCUGCCAGAGCUGUGGAGUGUGACAAUGGUGUUUGUGUCCAAUCUAUCAAACGCCAUUAUCACACUAAAUAGCUACUGGUAGGUGAGGCUUCGAGUCAGAGAUGUAUGUGAAAUAUAGCAAUAUGUUUACCCACUGUACUGAGGAAUAAAUAAGCUUUCUUCACGUCA